rnacentral:rRNA from 1 species
AUAAUACGAAUAGUUUUAUCUUUAUUCAAGAUUAAUACUGGCAGUAUGCAUAACAUAUACAAGUUGAACGAACUUGUUUUAUAAAAUGAGUUAGUAGCAGAUGGGUGAGUAAUAUGUGAGAAUCUAUAUUUAGUUGGGGGAUAACUUAUAGAAAUGUUUGCUAAUAUCCUAUAAUUAUACUAUUAAGUAAAAAUUUUUUUCCUAAACAUGAGCUUGAAUCUGAUUGGUUUGUUGGUUAGUUAAUGUCUUACCAAGAUUUUGAUCAGUAGUUGAUUUGAGAGAAUGGUCAGUCAUACUGUAAUUGAGAGUGGUACAGACUUUUAUGGGAGGCAAUGAGUGAAAAUUUGAUGGAGCAAUACUGCGUGUAGGAAGAAGGCUGUAUUAGUUGUAAAUUUUUUUUUUAAAAAAGAAUAGGUGACGAUAUUUGAAUAAUAUUCAUCAGUUAAUUUCGUGUCAGCAACUGUGGUAAUACGGGGGAUGUCAGUGUUAUCUGUAAUUAUUUGUGGGUUUAAAGGGUCCGGAGGUGAUAUUAUAUUUUUAAUUUUAUAAAGGCAUUAGAAACAGUAAUACUAGGGUAUGGUAGAGGUAAAGGGAAUUUUUAGUGUAGUGGUGAAGGUACUUUGCUAGGCCAAUACUGACAUUGAGAGACUAAAAUUAAGGUAGUAAACAGGAUUAGAUACCCUGGUAGUUUUGGCCGUAAACUAUUGAUACUAAGUUAUGAAGAUUCUAUUUUUAUAUAUAUUAGAUAUAUAUAAGUAUGAGGAUAUAUUUUAAAAGUUAACAUGUUAAGUAUUCCGCUUGGGAAGUAUUCUUGUAAAAGUGAAACUCAAAGGAAUUGAUGGGGACCUGCAUAAGCGGUGGAGUAUAUGGUUUAAUUCGAUGUAAAAUGAAAAACCUUAUUAAUACUUAGCAUGUUAAAAUAAAUGAUUAUUAUUAAUAAUGUAGUUAAAAAAUCUAGAUAUAGGUGAUAGGUGGUGCAUGAUUAUUGUCAGCUUGUAUUGUGAGAUGUAUGGUUUAGUUUUAUGAUGGGCGUAAUCCUUAUCUGUAGUUAAAUUUGUAUAUUGAAGAAACUGCUGUUGAUAAAUCAGAGGAAAGAGAGGAUAAUGUCAAGUCAUCAUGUUCUUUAUAUCUUGGGCUAUAUACGUGUUAUAAUGGUUAAGAUAAUUAGUUGCAAACUUGUAAAAGUUAGCUAAUCUAUAAAUUUAAUCUAAGUUUGGAUUGUAGGUUGAAAUUAGUUUACGUGAAGUUGGAAUCGCUAGUAAUCGCCGGUUAGUUAUAUGGUGGUGAAUAUGUUUUUGGGCCUUGUAUACACUGCUCGUUACAUCAAGGAAGUUAGUUGUGUUUGAUAUUGUUUUUUAACCUUUUGAAAAAUGAUAAUUAGGGUCUGGCUGGUGACCGUGGUGAAGUUGUAACAAGGUAGUCGUACUGGAAGGUGCGGCUGGAAAAAUGUUUU